rnacentral:rRNA from 1 species
CCUACGGGAGGCAGCAGUGAGGAAUAUUGGUCAAUGGGCGUAAGCCUGAACCAGCCAAGUCGCGUGAGGGAUUAAGGUUCUAUGGAUCGUAAACCUCUUUCAUAUGGGAAUAAAGUGUGGGACGUGUCCUAUUUUGUAUGUACCUUAUGAAUACGGUUCGGCUAACUCCGUGCCAGCAGCCGAGGUAAUACGUAGGCUCCAAGCGUUAUCCGGAUUCAUUGGGUUUAAAGGGUGCGUAGGCGGCCUUGUAAGUCAGCGGUGAAAGGAUGUGGCUCAACCAUAGAAUUGCAGUUGAAACUGGGGGGCUUGAGUAUGGUUGAGGCAGGCGGAAUGCGUGGUGUAGCAGUGAAAUGCGUAGAUAUCGAGCAGAACA